rnacentral:rRNA from 1 species
UACAGAGGUCUCAAGCGUUGUUCGGAUUCAUUGGGCGUAAAGGGUGCGUAGGCGGCGCGGUAAGUCGGGUGUGAAAUCUUGGAGCUUAACUCCGAAACUGCAUUCGAUACUGCCGUGCUUGAGGACUGGAGAGGAGACUGGAAUUUACGGUGUAGCGGUGAAAUGCGUAGAUAUCGUAAGGAAGACCAGUGGCGAAGGCGGGUCUCUGGACAGUUACUGACGCUGAGGCACGAAGGCCAGGGGAGCAAACGGG